GUUUUUAUAGUGUAAAAAACACACUACUUUUUCACAGUAGAGAUAAAGAUCUAUCUUUUAAAAAUA
rnacentral:tRNA from 1 species